CCUACGGGCGGCAGCAGUGGGGAAUCUUCCACAAUGGGCGAAAGCCUGAUGGAGCAACGCCGCGUGAGUGAAGAAGGUCUUCGGAUCGUAAAGCUCUGUUGCACGGGACGAAAACCGAGUUUGAGAAUAUUGAACCUGGGUGACGGUAUCGAGCGAGGAAGCCACGGCUAACUACGUGCCAGCAGCCGCGGUAAUACGUAGGUGGCGAGCGUUGUCCGGAAUUAUUGGGCGUAAAGGGAGCGCAGGCGGACAUAUAAGUCCAUCUUAAAAGUGCGGGGCUCAACCCCGUGAGGGGAUGGAAACUGUAUGCCUUGAGUGCAGGAGAGGAGAGCGGAAUUCCCAGUGUAGCGGUGAAAUGCGUAGAUAUUGGGAGGAACACCAGUGGCGAAGGCGGCUUUCUGGACUGUAACUGACGCUGAGGCUCGAAAGCCAGGGGAGCGAACGGGAUUAGAUACCCGGGUAGUC
rnacentral:rRNA from 1 species